AUUGAACGCUGGCGGCAGGCCUAACACAUGCAAGUCGAGCGAGCGGCGGACGGGUGAGUAAUGUAUGGGGACUGCCCGAUAAAGCGGGCUAACUACUGGAAACGGUGGCUACUACCGCAUACUAUCGGAUAACCCAUAUGGGAUUAGCGAGUAGGGGGGGUAAAGGCUCACCUAGGCGACGAUCUCUAGCUGGUCUGAGAGGAUGAUCAGCCAGACUGGGACGGAGACACGGCCCAGACUCCUAAGGAGGCAGCAGUGGGGAAUAUUGCACAAUGGGCGAAAGCCUGAUGCAGCCAGGCCGAGUGUAUUAAGAAGGCCCUAGGGUUGUAAAGUACUUUCAGUCGGGAGGCGUUACCGACAGAAGAAGCACCGGCUAACUCCGUGCCAGCAGCCGCGGUAAUAC
rnacentral:rRNA from 1 species